rnacentral:rRNA from 1 species
UACGUAGGGCGCAAGCGUUAUCCGGAAUUAUUGGGCGUAAAGAGCUCGUAGGCGGUUUGUCGCGUCUGCCGUGAAAGUCCGGGGCUCAACUCCGGAUCUGCGGUGGGUACGGGCAGACUAGAGUGAUGUAGGGGAGACUGGAAUUCCUGGUGUAGCGGUGAAAUGCGCAGAUAUCAGGAGGAACACCGGCUGGCGAAGGCGGGUCUCUGGGCCGAUACUGACGCUGAGGAGCGAAAGCGUGGGAGCGAACAGG